UUGGAGUGGGACUAUCCUAGCGAACUCACCUCUUGCCUUUUACCAGAGAUGACCGUGGGACGGCCCAAUAGACUCCGUUCAAUAAUCUUUGGCACCAAAUCAUGCGAAUCCGCUGGG
rnacentral:snRNA from 1 species